rnacentral:tRNA from 1 species
UGUUUUAAUAAUUUAAAUAAAAUAUUGGUCUUGUAAACCAACAAUAAGUAGAAGCUUUUAAAAC